UACGGAGGGUGCAAGCGUUGCUCGGAAUUAUUGGGCGUAAAGGGUAGGUAGGUGGUCUCAUUUGUCUGGGGUGAAAGCCUUGAGCUUAACUCAAGAAGUGCCCCAGAAACGGUGAGACUGGAGUCCUGGAGAGGGUCGUGGAAUUCCCGGUGUAGCGGUGAAAUGCGUAGAGAUCGGGAGGAACACCAGAGGCGAAGGCAGCCACCUGGCAUCAUACUGACGCUGAGGCGCGAAAGCGUGGGGAGCGAACAGG
rnacentral:rRNA from 1 species